rnacentral:rRNA from 1 species
GACGAACGCUGGCGGCGUGCCUAAUACAUGCAAGUCGACCUUAGUGGCGAACGGGUGAGUAACACGUGGGUAACCUGCCCAUCAGAAGGGGAUCACACUUGGAAACAGGUGCUAAUACCGUAUAAUGUUGGAUGGACUCGCGGUGCAUUAGCUAGUUGGUGAGGGAACGGCUCACCAAGGCCACGAUGCAUCGCCGACCUGAGAGUGUGAUCGGCCACACUGGGACUGAGACACGUCCCAAACUCCGACGGGAGGCAGCAGGAGGGAAUCUUCGGCAAUGGACGAAAGUCUGACCGAGCAACGCCGCGGGUGUGAAGAAGGUGUGCGGAUCGUAAAACUCUGUUGUUAGAGAAGCGGUAUCUAACCAGAAAGCCACGGCUAACUACGUGCCAGCAGCCGCGGUAAUUC